rnacentral:lncRNA from 1 species
ACUUGCAUAACCGAUUCCCGAACCUUAUUUGGUUGCGACGACCAUUUAUUUUUGUUUUUCAUGGGUUUUAUCGAUAUAUUCGUUUUCCCUCUUUGGGAAUAAAUAAAGUUCGGUGGAGACUUUAUUUUGUUUAUAUUUUGAGUGUUCCUUACGCUCAAGUAUUUUUCACGUCACAAUAGUUGGCAACUCUGUUGGGGAAAUGGAUAUUCUCCUAAACGAGUCCACCCUAGUUUAGUUUGUUUGAUGUUUAAGUGUUUGCUUUUAUCUCUUUGUUUAAUU